CCUGCGUAGUUCCCUGCUGCAAUCUCGACGCGCUAGGGGAUCCGCCGAGGCACCGAGGAGGACCUGACGGCCGGAGCCGGCGUUGGACGUACUGCCCGGGUGUAAGCAUAUGUUGCCGUCAACAUUGACUGUGGGGGCUUCCCAGGCUGUUGUUAGUCUGCUGGCAAACAUCAGGCCUACCUACCUGAAAAAGAAGACAUCAACCUCGGCUCCUAUCAUCUGGGUGACCGCUUGAUGAAGCCUUAAUCGCUGCAAGGGGGAAUAAUGACCGCAAACACUGAGACUGUUUCUUUGAAGGUUCCUGCCCAGAAGACAUCUCUUGUGCCCAUAGAUGAAGAUAGAGACUCUGUGGAAGAGAAUUGUGGCUACUGGCUGGGCUUUUGGUAUGGCUGGUGGUUGUGUUGGUGGGCUGGGUUCUUCAUUCUUUCUGUUCCCCUCAGUUUCUUCUUUGGUCUUCUGGGUCGAAAACUCUACUGUCUAAUCUUAAAAGCAUCCAGAAAGCUAUGCUUAUGUCCAAUAAAAUUGACAUGCUGCUCUUCACUAAUUAAGCGUUUAAUGAAACAAGGAGACAAAGAGGACGCGUACACUGAAGAAGGCUGUUCAGAUUGGAUCUCAAAAUGGAAGAAGCAAAUGCCAGGAAUUGUCCUCGGUGCAGUUAUUGGAGUCUGCCAGAUAAUAAAUUGUAUGCUCCGUCAGUAUGAAGUUGGAGGAGCCAUUUUUGGAGUAAUAUUUGGAUUUGUGUUAAUGUCACUUAAUGUUUAUGUUCCUAAAAUUGUGGUCUAACCUCAGUAUAUAUUCAAGUUGGGAUCAAACAUUUUCUUGCACCAAAGAUGGAUAUUUACUGCUGCUAAAGCAAUUAAAAGGAGUUGGACUGAAUUACUCCUGAGCAGAAACACUUGUAACCUUUUUAAAGGUUUCUUUAAUAGAUUGAUAAUCUCCAAAAAAAUUUUAUACUGCUACACUCUACUUGUUAGGUCCAAUAGAUGAGGUUUUUGGUCAAAUACGAGGAGCUGAUCUUUGCUUGCAGAUUUUCUAAAUGUUCAAGCUUGCAACACAGUGUACCAUUUUUAUAUUGAGGCCAAAUAAUUUGUUUUUCCUUGCUCAUAAUGCAACAGACUGUUUCUGAUCUUGUAGAGAAAAAUGACCAUAAAAAAAAUCUCAGUAGUAUCAUGUAAUGUCAUCUUGAGGCAGUAUUUUAAAGAUUUUGCAUCUUGUGCCCUUGCAAUAAAAAACACUGCUGUUUUUUUAGUGUCUCCACUCCUAUAAACAUACCCUGGUCCUGCUGCAACCUUUAACAGCUUUGUGGAGGUCAUCAUGGCAAGUGAUUUCAGCAUUUAAACGUUGUAGCAAGAAUUUUAAAAGUGUACUAAAUGUACCCACAUUUGGCUUGUAAAGUACUUUUAAAUAUGUACAGAAGGCUGUUGAACCACGUUGACUUUAUCUCAUGUGAAAUUAUAUCCUGUGCAGUGUUCAUUUUUCUCACUGAUAUACCAGGGAUUACAUUAAACAAGGAACUUCAGAAAUAUAUUAAAGAUUUCAUCCUUACCUUGAUCUUUGUGAUCACUGUGUUAAACAUGUAUGCCUUGGUGAAUCAAAUGUACUUAAUUUUUGUUGCGAAUACAUCAGGAUAAUUUAAGCACAUAUUAUUCUCGAAUUAAAACAGAAAAUGCUGAAAAUACUCAGCAGGUCUGGCAGCAUUUAUGGAAAGAGAAACAGUUAAUGGGCCAUAACUGCCAAGCUCCCCAGCGUUGGAUUGUGGGGGGGUACCCCAAAGAUGCGCUGGGGAAUCCCCAUCGGAGGUUCCCAGGUAAGGGUUUGCUUGGUAAUUGCCCAGAAGCUCAGACUUCCUCUAGGAAAUUGCCCUGCACUGGGAACCAUCCAAAAAUGUGAUUUUAAAACUUAGGUGGUGGUUCCAGCUGUGUUACAUAAAUAGUUACCCAGAAGAAGUUAGAAGAGAGGUUUUAAUUCUUCUAACUUCUGGGUAACUAUUGUAAAGACCCAGACUGACCCCUCCACAAUGUAAGUCUCUCUUGUGAUCACAAUAUUCAAUUACGUAUCAUAGGAGCAAACCUCACUUUUAAAAUAUCACUCCACCACCACCUGAACAGAGGAAUCCAAUCUGAUCUUGUUGGGAAAGGUGGCUAAACGUCAAAUGUUAAAAUUCAAGAAAAACAGCUUCAUUGUCAAAUGUAUACUGCGUUAAAGCAAGAGUUGAUGGCUGACUUUGAGUUCAGAACAUUCUGACUAUUUUGGGAAAUUAAGUUAUGCUGUCAUUAUGUAUAAAUGUAUCAAAAGUAAAAUGCCAUUCUUUUUCUAAAAA